UACGUAGGCAGCAAGCGUUGUUCGGAAUUACUGGGCGUAAAGAGUGUGUAGGCGGUGCUCUAAGUCUGUUGUGAAAUCUCCCGGCUUAACUGGGAGGGUGCGGCGGAGACUGGAGUGCUAGAGUGUGGGAGAGGUAAGCGGAAUUCCUGGUGUAGCGGUGAAAUGCGUAGAUAUCAGGAGGAACACCUGUGGUGUAGACAGCUUACUGGACCACGACUAACGCUGAGGCACGAAAGCCAGGGGAGCAAACGGG
rnacentral:rRNA from 1 species